rnacentral:rRNA from 1 species
GAUGAGCGCUAGCGGCAGGCUUAAUACAUGCAAGUCGAGGGGUAGCAAGAUUGUAGCAAUACAAUUGUUGACGACCGGCAAACGGGCGCGGAACACGUACACAACCUUCCUACAAGUGGGGAAUAGCCCAGAGAAAUUUGGAUUAAUACCCCGUAACAUAGCGAUGUGGCAUCACAUUGCUAUUAUAGCUUCGGCGCUUGUUGAUGGGUGUGCGGCUGAUUAGAUAGUUGGCGGGGUAACGGCCCACCAAGUCUACGAUCAGUAGCUGAUGUGAGAGCAUGAUCAGCCACACGGGCACUGAGACACGGGCCCGACUCCUACGGGAGGCAGCAGUAAGGAAUAUUGGACAAUGGACGCAAGUCUGAUCCAGCCAUGCCGCGUGAAGGAUUAAGGUCCUCUGGAUUGUAAACUUCUUUUAUAAGGGACGAAAAAAGGUCUUUCUAGAUCGUCUGACGGUACCUUAUGAAUAAGCACCGGCUAACUCCGUGCCAGCCGCCGCCGUAAGAC